UGAUAUCCUUUUCCAGAAUCUGAUCCCUCCGAAGUAUGUGAGAUGAAAUUUUGCCAUCCCGGCAUCCUAGGAGCUUUCUGAUUGUAUUUCUUCCAAGACAGACUUGUUCAUUCUUCUGGAAGGCCAUGGUAUAUAGUCAGCGCUCUUCACCAACACCGUAAUUCAAAGGCAUCAAUUCUUCUUUGAUCUUCUUUAUUCCUUGUCCAGCUUUCACAGGCAGGUGCGUCUAUUGAAAAUACCAUGACUUAGGUCAGACGCACUUCAGUUUUCAAAGUGACAUCUUUGCUUUUUAACAGUUUCAAGAAUACUUUUGCAGCAGAUUUCCCCAAUGCAAUAUGUUCUUUGAUUUCCUAACUGCUGCUUCCAUGGUUGUUUAUUGAGGAUCCAAAUAAAAUGAAAUCCUUGACAACUUCAAUAUUUUCUCCAUUUGUGAUGAUAUUGCAUAUUGGUCCAGUUGUGAGGAGUUCCGUUUUUUUCAUGUUGAAGUGCAAUCCAUACCGAAGGCUGUGGUCUUUGAUCUUCAUCAGUAAGUGCUUCAAGUCCUCUUCACUUUCGGCAAGCAAGGCUGUGUCAUCUGUGUAAUGCAGGUUGUUCAGGAGUCUUCCUCCGAUGCUGAUACCAUAUUUUUCUUCAUAUAGUUCAGCUUCUCGGGUUAUAUAGAUUGAUUGAGUAUGAUGAAAGGCUACAACGCAGAUUCGCACAAUAAUGAAACACUGCCCUGUCCUGCAUCACCCUCAGAAUCCUUGCAUGCUUGAGCCCACGUUUGCAGGCACUGUAUCAGUCCAUCUCAUUGAGGAUCUUCCUCUCUUUGUUUCUUAUGUCUCAUUAAUUCUCAGGUCAAUUAAUCUGACGUUGACUGUGAGACAAAGUAGAAGUCAACCUCUGAGUAGAAUAUUUACAUUUGUAAGCCCCCUGCAAGUCUAUUUAUCAUUUUUUUUGCAUGUUAAAAUUUUUUUGAUGGUAUUGCUUUUUAGUAUUAAGGGUUCUAAGUACUGGUAAAAAAAUGAUGUUUGAAGUUUUGUAUAAUUCCAUUGUCACAUGUAUUUUAUUGCUACAGUAACUCUAGAGUGCAGACUUAUUUUUAAUUGUAGUAGCAUUGUGUGUAGAAAUGGAGGGAACGUGCUGAACGAAAUGAGAAUUCAGAAAUGAAUAAUCCAUAGAAGUGAUAUCAAACUUUGCCAUGAAGCUGGGGUUUCAAUAAGUUAUAUAACAGAAAAAGUAAAAAAGGAAUCUAUAUCCACACUCUCUUUCCCUCGUGCAAUCAUUCUCACAGUGGCUGCAUUUCUUCCCAGCCAAAUCCUAUACUUCUGUGCUUUUUUGUACAGAUGGUGGAGAUGCUGAGCAAUCAGCAGGGAAGCCUAUAUUAUAUGGAAAAUGGGAAGAAUAAUUAAGAGAGAGUAUAAAAGAGUCAGAGGAGAGAGAGAAUGAAUCUGGGUUUGGAAGAGACUAUUUGGAGUUGGAAGUCGAGAUAAGAUGGAAGCUUCUGGUAGCAGCUUUGGUACAUGAGGAUUUCGAGAAGGCUGAAGGCUGUUCAGCUCUCAGGAUUCUGCUCUGGUUCAACCUUAGCACCUCCUCUUAUUUGUCAAGCACUGACUACAGGAGGCAGCGCUGCUGAGUGAGGAAGGCCCUGACUUGGAAUCAGACAAGGUGGGAAUUUCUAUGUCGUGUGCCACAGAGACUCCCAGCAAGGACCUUGUUUGGAGGUUGUUCCCAAAAAACUACCAGUUUGUUCUGGUCUUUCACUUUGCCAUUGAGGAGAUCAACAAGAACCCCUACCUGCUCCCCAACCUGUCCUUGGGUUUUGACCUCUACAAUGCCGUUCCCAGGGAGCACAGAACCUUAGAGAGUGCCCUGUUUUGGCUCUCGGGAGGGAGGCAGAUUCUCCCUAAUCACAACUGCCAGAGACAGAGCAAAUCUGUCGCUAGCAUUAUGGAAAGCAAAUCAGCAUCCUCUGCAGAGGUUGGAACACUGCUGGAGCUCUACAAAAGCCCACAGGUCAGUGGAUUGUGAGCUCUGGAAACAUAAGAUCAGGUUGUGUCAAUGGCAUUCCCUGCUGUCCGAUCAAGGGAAAGGAGGAAGGAG